UUUAAAGAUUAAAAAUUUCAAAGAUUUUCAGUAUUUAAAAAAUCCCACAGAUUUUUUAAAGAUUGAAACCGAAGGUUUCAGUAUUUUAAAAUCUGCUGAUUUUAAAAACGCACCUGCGGAUGCUUCCCAAGUCCGCAGCACUACA
rnacentral:ncRNA from 24 species